GACGAACGCUAGCGGCGUGCCUAAUACAUGCAAGUAGAACGCUGAAGCGAGGAGCUUGCUCUUCUUGGAUGAGUUGCGAACGGGUGAGUAACGCGUAGGUAACCUGCCUUGUAGCGGGGGAUAACUAUUGGAAACGAUAGCUAAUACCGCAUAACAAUGGAUGACACAUGUCAUUUAUUUGAAAGGGGCAAUUGCUCCACUACAAGAUGGACCUGCGUUGUAUUAGCUAGUAGGUGAGGUAACGGCUCACCUAGGCGACGAUACAUAGCCGACCUGAGAGGGUGAUCGGCCACACUGGGACUGAGACACGGCCCAGACUCCUACGGGAGGCAGCAGUAGGGAAUCUUCGGCAAUGGGGGCAACCCUGACCGAGCAACGCCGCGUGAGUGAAGAAGGUUUUCGGAUCGUAAAGCUCUGUUGUAAGUCAAGAACGAGUGUGAGAGUGGAAAGUUCACACUGUGACGGUAGCUUACCAGAAAGGGACGGCUAACUACGUG
rnacentral:rRNA from 1 species